rnacentral:lncRNA from 1 species
AGCACAGCGCCUGGGAUACACAUUUGUGUUCGCAUGCUACAGACAGAAGGCUCUGCACACACGAAGGCUACCCUGAAGCAAGGUUGGUGCAACAGGCAAACUUCUGGAUCUGGGAAAAUAAAACAGGUUUUUGUUUUAAAAACUUAAGUGCAAUAAGAAUCGGUUGGAAUUUUUUUUUGUUUUGUUUUAAAUGUAAAAACCUGUAAUCAUGCAGAUGCUAUGCUGUGUCGGGAAGAAAUCUAUGGUGGUUUUGGAAAAACUGGAGAUCUGCAUUGUCUUGUCCAGUCUGCCUUUUCCUCACAGAUAAAGGUCCCACUUUGCCAUGAGCACACGCAGCAGAUAUGAGAAGGAAACAGCGCGAUUUCACCGGCCAUGCAGCAUACCCUCCCCACACUGUCAUAGUAUCUGUGGCUGCCCACUCCUAUCCACCUUGGUUCCGAAAGCCCAUGCACACAGUGGCCUCAGUAGCUGGUAGGAUCCUGAGUAUUUGGGUAAUACGUGGUGGGUGGUAGAAGCUCUCUCCAGAGCACAGGGCUCCUACACUCUGGCUUUCACAGCCAUUUACGAGAAAAAUCCAUCCACAAUACUUACGGAUCAAUUGGCUUCUGUUACUUCACUUUUUAAAAAUAUGAACAAUCAGUGCUGGCAAGAUGGCUCAGUGGGUAAGGAAGGGUGCUUGCUACCAAUUCUGAUGACCUGUGUUCAACCCUGAGACUACAUGAUAGGAAUCAGAUAUUACAGGUACACACACACAGCACACACAUGUGCACACACACACACACCCUAAACAGAGUUAUUUUAAUGUAAUAACAAAUUAGGCUGAAAAAUCAGCAGAGCCUGUAAUUCCAGCACUCAGGAGACUGACACAGGAACGCUGUUAGUUUGAAGCCAGCCUAUGCUACAGUGUAAGACUGUCUCAAAAACACAAACAACAAAGAAGUUCCCCCUCCCAAAAAAAAUCUACCUGCCUUUGACAGUGUGUAAAUAUGCCACACCUGACAAGUUAUUGAAAAAUAUCAAUAGAUAUUUCAAAAUAUAAAAAUAUCAAUAUUAAAUUUUCCAACCGAUGUACAUAGCAAAAUAGGAACAUACUCACAUGUUGGUAAAAUAUAUUUUAUUUGUUCAUACAAAGAAAAAGUAUGAAUUACCAGAAUUUCAUUUUCCUAGAAACAUCUUUCUCUGUGUAAAAUUAAUUUGUGUUAUACAUAGGACAAAAUACUUGAUUUAAUUCUUUUUUGUACAUAUUGGCUAUUCUAACAUCCACGUUAUAGAAGACAUACUGCGAGAAUUUGCACAGCACUUUUGAUUACUGGGCUGAAUGAAACUCAAGUCAUAAAUUAAUGUUAUAAAAAUGAAAUAAAAAACUAACCACACCUUCAAAAUUCAUUAACCAUUUGUAUGGAAAACUGAAAAGAGAACUGACCCCCCAGCGCCCACAUCAACACCUCUGAUUCUCACUGACUUGUUGGAGCCUCCAUUUUCGGUUCUUAGGAGAGCAGCCAGGCAUGAUCUACACCUGGGUUUCUCCCAAAGACUGAAGUGCAUUCAUCACUGAGAAGAACUCCCCAAGAGUCCCCUCCCCCCAGAACAUCUCUCCACCACUCAAUGCAGACUUUAUUCCAUAGUCACUCUGCCUGAAGUUACCUUUGUAGGUGCUACAGAGUAAACGAGCACAGACCUACAUGCAAACAUCCCCAGAGAGAAGGCUUUCCAUGGAUAGGAAUUCAAAAAAAAAAACAAACAAACACGGGGGGAAAAAAAACUUUUCUUUUUUGUUUUCAAACAAGGAAAGAAAUGAAACUUUUCAGAAAUAAAGUACACCAGGAAUAUGCCAUAGCUUUCCUAUAAACUGGAGAAAAAAUUAAAAAAUUUAAAAAAUACCAAACAUGUAGCAGGACAAACUGCCAGGACAUGAACUGGUGUCUGUCUCCUAGCAGCCUAGCAGCUCAGAAGUGACACUCAGUGGGCUUGCAGAUGGCCAGUGAAGGAAGAGACAGACCUAAGGCUUAAUUCUCCAUGUUCCCUAACUCCUCCGAGAAGAGGCCCUGUGUGUAACGACUAUCACAUGAUGAUGGAGCGGCAUCUUGGGCAGAUGCAGCAUCCAAUCAUCCAGGGACUACAAGCAGUGGAGCCUGACCAAAGAGGUGCACAUGUUGUUUGAUUUAUUUGACUAACACUGAAAACCUCACCCUGCUCCAUCACCACUAAUUAUCGACAUCUGCUCAGAUCCAAGGAUUUGACCCAGAACAGACUCCUAACUCACUUCAGUGUUCAUGACUAAAUGACUUCCUUCUACCUCAGUAUGUCUUGUUUUUGUUAUAUUCUCAAGCAAAUAAUAAUAAUAAUAAUUAAAAAAAAUAAACGACUGAAUUUAAAAAAACAAAAAGGUGUCCAGCUUGGAAAGAGAACAGGAAGGCUCACACAUCUCUCCCCUCCCUUCCCCCACUUGGCUAUGUACCAUUCUCUGAACUCUUUUUGCUCUUCUACUUCAUGUGUCACAUCAGACUCCGGGAGCAGCCAGCAAGCCUUGGUGAAGGCCUUUGACAACUGCCUCUGGCUGGGAGCAAGGUUCUGCUGUACGUGAGGGGAGUGAGCCUUGUUCUGAUGUCAAACAGCCUUCUGCACAGAAAAGCACAGGCGGGUGAGCACCUUGCGUGCAGGCGUCUCCACACACCUGCCAGCCAGGGGAUUCUGCUGACAGUGUGGGGUUGGCCUCAAUGUACACCGUGCUGAGUAUGGACAGAAGAAAAUGAGCAAAUGACUGUGAAAUGGGCUGGGGAAUGUGGCUCAGUGUUUGCCUAGUGUGCAAUAGGCCCAGGAUUCUACCCCCAGCUCUGCAGAAGAAAAAAGAAAAGAGGGAAGAAAUGGAUGUAACAGCUAAAGGAUGAAUAUAGCCCAGGGACCAUUUUGUGGCCCAGAAUGAGCUAAUUCAUGCUGGGCUAUAACUUGUAGAAAACCACAAAUUUGGUUAUCAAAAUAUCCCUAGAGACACCUCUCUCACUAGUUUCUAAAGACAGUAUAUCUUCUCUUUCCAUGUAACUUUGCUUAUCCUGUCAAGUUAGCCCAAAAAGUAUCC